AGCAGGGACAACUCCCUUCCUUAUGUUUUUGUUAGAGAGGGGUGGGGCCUUGAUUGGCUGAGGUGACGUGAGCAAAACGCUCAGUGAGUGCCUGGAGCUUUUAGGAUGCUGGGUUACCGCGGAUUUUUGAAAAUCAACAUGACACGAUGGACCUUACGUUGCAAAAAAGUGGAGGAGUCUUAACCUGCAAUAAGGUGGGUCCUGCUACGCUGGCCUGCACUUUUUACAGUAGAUCAGGUGUUCUUGUAAUUCAGCAGUGGGAAAGAACCUCAAGCGGGAAUUUGGUAACACUUUAUAAUAACUACACACUAUAAAUCAUUUAUUAAGCAUUAGCAAAUAGUGAAUUCUUUAUUUGUCAAGCAUUAACUCUACGUUGAUAAACGUUAGU